rnacentral:rRNA from 1 species
GAUGAACGCUAGCGGCAGGCUUAAUACAUGCAAGUCGUGGGGCAGCGCAGUGUAGCAAUACAUGGGCGGCGACCGGCAAACGGGUGCGGAACACGUACACAACCUUCCUUCAAAUGGGGAAUAGCCCAGGGAAACUUGGAUUAAUACCCCGUAACAUUAUGAAGUGGCAUCACUUUAUAAUUAUAGCUCCGGCGUUUGGAGAUGGGUGUGCGGCUGAUUAGGUAGUUGGCGGGGUAACGGCCCACCAAGCCUUCGAUCAGUAACUGGUGUGAGAGCACGACCAGUCACACGGGCACUGAGACACGGGCCCGACUCCUACGGGAGGCAGCAGUAAGGAAUAUUGGGCAAUGGACGCAAGUCUGACCCAGCCAUGCCGCGUGGAGGAUGAAGGU